rnacentral:rRNA from 1 species
ACGCUCGACACCUAUGGGAGGCAGCAGUGAGGAAUAUUGGUCAAUGGGCGCUAGCCUGAACCAGCCAAGUAGCGUGAAGGAUGAAGGCUCUAUGGGUCGUAAACUUCUUUUAUAUAAGAAUAAAGUGCAGUAUGUAUACUGUUUUGUAUGUAUUAUAUGAAUAAGGAUCGGCUAACUCCGUGUCAGCAGCCGCGGUAAUCUGAGCGGGCUGGCAAGGC